ensembl:lncRNA
CGACGGCCGGCCGCCCAACGGGCGCGUGGGCUGCCCUGGACGCACCGCGGUGGUAAUUCCACUCCGCCGCCUGCAUUAGUCAAUUAUUCAUCCCGCGCUGCCCGCGUGCAGGGCCACCCGCAGGCCACUGGGGGCCCUCGCUCUGGGGCUGCCAGGGACGCAGGGUCGCUUCUCAGGAGGGAACGGGGUGCCCUGGACCCCAGCUGCAGACCCCUGCAGGGCCAUGAGCCAGGGUGAAGCUCCCCGGGAAGGGGGCUGCGAGGCCCAGCAACCUGGACCCAGGCCAAGAAGUCAAGAACUGCUGAAGUCCAGGCCUCCACGCUUGUACUGACACAAGCGACCACCCAGCCCCGCCAACCCAUAUGGCUCUGUUUUCCUGAUGUAUGAGGACUGACUCUGAAGCAUGCUACCGGGAUGGCAUAACUGCUCUUGACCUUCUGGCUGAUGUGGUAGUAGACUGUGAUACUCCGUCAGGCCACGGCAGAGAUGAGAACCGUGUUUCAUGGGAGACUGCUUAGAGAAGAAAGGACCUCAUUCAUUUCUGGGCCCUGCUGUUGUUGUGUCUGGCUCUGUGCAACCCCAUGGACUAUAGCACACAAGGCUUCCCUGCCCUUCACCAUCUCCUGGAGUUUGUUCAGAUUCAUGUCCACUGAGUCAGCGAUGCCGUCUAAACCAUCUCAUCCUCUGCCGCCCCCUUCUCAUUUUGCCCUCAGUCUUUCCCAGCGUCAGGGUCUUUUCCAA